rnacentral:lncRNA from 1 species
GCCGCCCCCCGCCGCAUCCCCUCACAGUGCUGGAGUGGGGUUCUGUGCUUUACAUGCCCCAGGGCAUGGCUCAAUCUGGCAAACCCUGGAGUGAAGCUGCUUUCAGCGUGUGGAGACUGAGUGCCACCGACAGCCUGUUGUCUGUUCGUGCUCAGAGAGUUAUGUGGAAGGACAGGAGUGACUCAGUAAUAGGAAGUAUUAGUUGCACUGAGGCAAAACCAGGAGUUAGGUGGCAAAACUUGCUCUCCUUUGGAGUCCAUUUGAAAUAUAGUGACUGAUGAAGGCCAAGGAGCAAUUCUGCAAUUGUUUAUUCGCUGUAUGUGUCCAUGACCUGGAAGAAGCGUGCAGGAAGGGGCUAAAGCAGAAAUGCUUCUGAGAUGGCACAAAGUGUGUGUUGGAGGCAGACAGGAGGAGUGGGCAGAUGGCAGUCAGAACAAAACAGGGAGUUCAAUAACUUGGGACAGCAGUGAGCUGCUCUAACUGGAGAACACCCUUCUAACCAUAAAGGGGAGCUGCUCUGUCUAAGAUUGAGUGUAAGACAUAAAUGAUCCUCCAAAGAAGCUUUUCUCAAAAAAAAAAAGAGCUUAUUUUCUGAAGACAACUUUGUCACUUGAACUAGAGAUGCUUCUUACCUUGACUGAAAAGGCAGACUAUGGGCACAAACUGGAAGACUCCUCAAG